rnacentral:rRNA from 1 species
UAAGUUAAUAAGGGCGCACGGUGGAUGCCUUGGCACUAGGAGCCGACGAAGGACGUGACAAACGACGAUAUGCCUUGGGUAGCUGUAAGUAAGCGAUGAUCCAGGGAUUUCCGAAUGGGGGAACCCAACAGGUAAUACCUGUUACCUACAUCUGUUAAGGAUGUGAGGAGGAAGACGCAGUGAACUGAAACAUCUAAGUAGCUGCAGGAAGAGAAAGCAAAAGCGAUUGCCUUAGUAGCGGCGAGCGAAACGGCAGAAGGGCAAACCGAAGAGUUUACUCUUCGGGGUUGUAGGACUGCAAUGUGGACUCAAAGAUUAUAGAAGAAUGAUUUGGGAAGAUCAGCCAAAGAGAGUAAUAGCCUCGUAUUUAAAAUAGUCUUUGUACUUAGCAGUAUCCUGAGUACGGCGGGACACGUGAAAUCCCGUCGGAAUCUGGGAGGACCAUCUCCCAACCCUAAAUACUCCCUAGUGACCGAUAGUGAACCAGUACCGUGAGGGAAAGGUGAAAAGCACCCCGGGAGGGGAGUGAAAUAGAACCUGAAACCGUGUGCCUACAACAAGUUCGAGCCCGUUAAUGGGUGAGAGCGUGCCUUUUGUAGAAUGAACCGGCGAGUUACGUUAUGAUGCGAGGUUAAGUUGAAGAGACGGAGCCGUAGGGAAACCGAGUCUGAAUAGGGCGCCUUAGUAUCAUGACGUAGACCCGAAACCAUGUGACCUACCCAUGAGCAGGUUGAAGGUGCGGUAAGACGCACUGGAGGACCGAACCAGGGCACGUUGAAAAGUGCUUGGAUGACUUGUGGGUAGCGGAGAAAUUCCAAACGAACUUGGAGAUAGCUGGUUCUCUCCGAAAUAGCUUUAGGGCUAGCGUCGACAUUAGAGAUUCUUGGAGGUAGAGCACUGUUUGGGUGAGGGGUCCAUCCCGGAUUACCAAUCUCAGAUAAACUCCGAAUGCCAAUGAAUUAUGGUCGGCAGUCAGACUGCGAGUGCUAAGAUCCGUAGUCGAAAGGGAAACAGCCCAGACCACCAGCUAAGGUCCCAAAAUAAUUGUUAAGAGGAAAAAGGAUGUGGGGUUGCACAGACAACUAGGAUGUUAGCUUAGAAGCAGCUAUUCAUUCAAAGAGUGCGUAAUAGCUCACUAGUCGAGUGACCCUGCGCCGAAAAUGUACCGGGGCUAAAACAAUUUACCGAAGCUGUGGAUACCUUUAUAGGUAUGGUAGGAGAGCGUUCUAUGUGUGAUGAAGGUAUACCGUGAGGAGUGCUGGAACGCAUAGAAGUGAGAAUGCCGGUAUGAGUAGCGAAAGACAGGUGAGAAUCCUGUCCACCGUAAGACUAAGGUUUCCAGGGGAAGGCUCGUCCGCCCUGGGUUAGUCGGGACCUAAGGAGAGACCGAAAGGUGUAUCCGAUGGACAACAGGUUGAUAUUCCUGUACUAGAGUAUGUAGUGAUGGAGGGACGCAGUAGGCUAACUAAAGCAGACGAUUGGAAGAGUCUGUCUAAGCAGUGAGGUGUGAAUUGAGUCAAAUGCUUAAUUCUAUAACAUUGAGCUGUGAUGGGGAGCGAAGUUUAGUAGCGAAGUUAGUGACGUCACACUGCCAAGAAAAGCUUCUAGCGUUUAAACAUACUCUACCCGUACCGCAAACCGACACAGGUAGUCGAGGCGAGUAGCCUCAGGUGAGCGAGAGAACUCUCGUUAAGGAACUCGGCAAAAUGACCCCGUAACUUCGGGAGAAGGGGUGCUGACUUAAAGUCAGCCGCAGUGAAUAGGCCCAAGCAACUGUUUAUCAAAAACACAGCUCUCUGCUAAAUCGUAAGAUGAUGUAUAGGGGGUGACGCCUGCCCGGUGCUGGAAGGUUAAGAGGAGUGCUUAGCGUAAGCGAAGGUAUGAAUUGAAGCCCCAGUAAACGGCGGCCGUAACUAUAACGGUCCUAAGGUAGCGAAAUUCCUUGUCGGGUAAGUUCCGACCCGCACGAAAGGCGUAAUGAUUUGGGCACUGUCUCAACGAGAGACUCGGUGAAAUUUUAGUACCUGUGAAGAUGCAGGUUACCCGCGACAGGACGGAAAGACCCCAUGGAGCUUUACUGCAGUUUGAUAUUGAGUGUCUGUACCACAUGUACAGGAUAGGUAGGAGUCUAAGAGAUCGGGACGCCAGUUUCGAAGGAGACGCUGUUGGGAUACUACCCUUGUGUUAUGGCCACUCUAACCCAGAUAGGUGAUCCCUAUCGGAGACAGUGUCUGACGGGCAGUUUGACUGGGGCGGUCGCCUCCUAAAAGGUAACGGAGGCGCCCAAAGGUUCCCUCAGAAUGGUUGGAAAUCAUUCGCAGAGUGUAAAGGUAUAAGGGAGCUUGACUGCGAGAGCUACAACUCGAGCAGGGACGAAAGUCGGGCUUAGUGAUCCGGUGGUUCCGUAUGGAAGGGCCAUCGCUCAACGGAUAAAAGCUACCCUGGGGAUAACAGGCUUAUCUCCCCCAAGAGUUCACAUCGACGGGGAGGUUUGGCACCUCGAUGUCGGCUCGUCGCAUCCUGGGGCUGUAGUCGGUCCCAAGGGUUGGGCUGUUCGCCCAUUAAAGCGGCACGCGAGCUGGGUUCAGAACGUCGUGAGACAGUUCGGUCCCUAUCCGUCGCGGGCGUAGGAAAUUUGAGAGGAUCUGCUCUUAGUACGAGAGGACCAGAGUGGACUUACCGCUGGUGUACCAGUUGUCUUGCCAAAGGCAUCGCUGGGUAGCUAUGUAGGGAAGGGAUAAACGCUGAAAGCAUCUAAGUGUGAAACCCACCUCAAGAUGAGAUUUCCCAUGAUUAUAUAUCAGUAAGAGCCCUGAGAGAUGAUCAGGUAGAUAGGUUAGAAGUGGAAGUGUGGCGACACAUGUAGCGGACUAAUACUAAUAGCUCGAGGACUUAUCCA